rnacentral:lncRNA from 10 species
CUGGAAGCCAACUUGCAUAGCGCUCUUUAUACGCAAAGACUGAUUUUAUGCUGGGCACAGGAAAGAAGAGAGAGUGGAAAGGCUGGAAGAGAGAUGCAUUUAAGAAAUUUGUGAAGCUAGAGCUCAUCUAACCUGUCAUCAUUACUCUUCAUCACCCUCAAGCAAAUGGUCAGGCUGAAAGAAUGAUGCAGACCACUAAGGAAGCCAUAAAGUAAACUAUCAGAAGAAAGUGACUGAGGAGAUUUGCCCAGCUUUUCAUCACUCAACAUAUCAGUCCAAGUGGGACAACAGAAGUCAGUUCUCCUGAAUAAAAAAGGCAGCAACAUUGCAACUGUGCCUUUGACAGUUCCCAUAUAAAGCUUAGCUUAGAAUUUAUAGACAAACCAGAAUGUACUCUGGGAAUAGUACUCAUUCUUAAUUCAUUUUUCUAGAAGAAUUUGUGUUGACUAGAAUUUUAAAUGAAACAGAAAGGGGCAUGUUCCUAUUUAACUAAAAUCACGGUGUGUGUGUUAUUACAAGGGCUAGACUGUAGAUGGAACUAAGUGGCAUAACACUAACAAGAGCAAUUCAGUGUUAUGUUCAGGUUUUUUACAUUCCUGCUAGUAUUUUAUUUCUUUUAAGUUCAUUAUAUGCCACUGUGUACUUAUUUUAAGUUCAGAUAUAUUAUAUGACAAAGUUAACCAAGAAUAUUUUCUUUCACCAAAAAUAAGACUCAAACCCUCUUUUUCUGCUUAACAUCAAUCAAAUCUCCAAAAAGUUAGGAGAAUUUGGAAAGGAGUACAGAAAAGAGUGAAUGUGUCUACCAAAUACUUCUAGCUUUCCUUUUUCUGGUCACAUGGUGAAAGUUCAGGCAACCUGUGACGGAUUCAUUACAUCAUUUUUCCCUGGUGAAGAAGCCUGAGUUGAGAUAAAGCAUCAAUCAUCUUGGGUCCCAGGUUUACUACAAUAAGUAGAGCCUCUUGCCAAUCCCUCUUGGGUAUGUAUGAAGAGAACAAGAAAUAAAAUUUGUUAUAUUAAGCCACUUAGAUUUUGGAUUACUGCAGAAUAACCUAGACUAUCUUGACUUACAUAAAAUUAAU